UGCUUCUCUUUUUCUAAAAUUUGUUUGUCCAUAAACCCUAAUCACAAUUUCUUCCUCUAUGUCCUUUUAUCAAUUUCUUUACAUCAUAAUCAUAUCAGUUUAAUCACAUCUGCAAACAUUCUUUCAUUCUUUAAUUGAUUCAUUGUUGUUGUAAUAAUAAUGAAAAGAAAACCUGCUACAAUUGUCAUCAGAUUAUUACCUCAUAUGUUCACAAACCCUCAAUCAAAUCUGAAUUCUAUUUACAUAAAUUUCUUCAACAAAGUUAAGACCUUUAGAACUGUUGCUGCUGAAAGAAUUGAUUAUCAAACUCAAUCAAGUAAUAGUAACUCAUAUGGUUCAGAGGGAGGAGGAGAUGUUCAGCAGACUACUGCUGCUGGGUUUCACACACCAAAUCUUUACAGAGGUAAUCAUAAUGAUAAUAAUCAACUUCAGAAUAAUGGGUUCAAUCAAAAUGAGUUGAACAAGAACCCAAAUUCUUCAUAUUUUCAGAGCAAUUACAAUAGGAAUUUUCAACGCAACCCUAGUGAGUACCAUCCUCAGGUACAGAACACAAAUACCAAUGGGUUUAAUCCAAUUGAUUUCCAGCAUAAUGCUAAUGUAUGUUACACUUAUAAUUCGAGAGGUUUGGAACAGAAUCUAAAUGGUCAUUAUAGAGAGAAUUCUACUCCACACAGUGAGAAAGAGUCCUCCUGCGGAGAACAUUUGCAGAAAUCUAGUGGGUAUCAUCAGCCGGUUAUCGCUGUUAAUCAUGGCCAGUUGCAGUUCCAACAGAAUUCAUAUGGGUAUAAAAAGGAAACGGAAGUUGGGGGAUUUCAACGGAACGCAUUCGGAGAUGAAUAACGUUCAUUCUCAAUCAUCCGUGAAUAAUGUGGAAUCUGAAUUUGAAGUGAAGUGUAAUGGUAUCUUUGAGGAGAUGAAUAGUUUCUGUAAAGAUGGUAAUGUGAAGGAAGCUACGAGGGUUAUGAACUUGUUAUAUCAACAAGGUAUUGAGAUUGGUUUGUUCCCGUAUUGUCAGUUGAUGAAGGUUAUUGGGGAAGUUGUUGCUAAAGAAGAGGCAAAAUUGAUUCAUAACCAUCUCAUGAAGACAAAGCUCUCUUCGGAAACUACCAUACAGAAUAAGGUAUUAGACAUGUAUUUGAAAUGUGGCUUAGUGUCUGAUGCUCAUGAUUUGUUUGGAAAAAUACCUGCUCUAAAUCUGACAUCUUGGGACGCCAUGAUAGUUGGUCUGGCAGAUAAUGGAUACGGAGAAGAUGCAAUUGAUGUGUUCACUGAAUUCAAGGAGGCUGGAGGAAGACCCGAUGGCCAAGUAUUUCUUGGGGUUUUUUACGCUUGUAGUACCCUUUGUGACAUUACUGAAGGAAUGUUGCACUUUGAGUCGAUGAGUAAAGUUUUUGGUAUUACACCCUCCAUGGAUCAUUAUGUGGGUGUUGUGAAAAUGUUGGGAAGUACAGGAUACUUAGAUGAGGCUUUCGAGUUCAUUGAAAAUAUGCCUGUUGAACCAAGUAUUAAUGUUUGGGAAGCUUUGAUGAAUCUUUGCAGAAUUCAUGGGAACCUGGAAACUGGGGACCUUUGUGAAAGUGUCAUUGCUCUCUUAGACCCCUCACGGUUAAAUGUCGAAUCGAAGGCAGGUCUUGUGCCAGUAGACCCCUCUGAUAAUGUAAUAACCGAGAAGAAAAAAAUGUAUCUAGGUCAGGAACCAUUAGGAUUAGUUAGUAACGUCAAACAGUAUAUGGCAGGCGAUACAUCCCACCCUGAUAAUGACAUAACAUAUGCCCAUUUGAGGAUGCUGAGUGUGCAUAUGAAAGAGUCUGGUUAUAUACCAGAGGUUAGAUGCGCAUUGCAUGAUGUAGAUGAUGAAAGUAAAGCUACAUCACUUCUCGGACACAGUGAAAAAUUGGCUUGUGUUGCUGGUCUCUUAAGUACCCCUGCUCGCAGCCGCAUGCGAAUAAUCAAGAAUCUUAGAGUCUGUGUGGAUUGCCAUAAUGCAUUGAAGUUUAUCUCAAAGAUUGUUGGAAGGCAUAUCAUUGCUCGCGAUGCCAAGCGGUUUCACCAUUUUGAAGAUGGGGUGUGUAACUGCAACGAAUUCUGGUAAAGCGGUAGUAAGGCUUUUGAAGAAGAGAAAAGAAGAAGAAAUUGAAGAAUGGUGGUACAAUAUGAGGUACAUGAAGCCUGACAACAUUUAUACACGCUCUCUUUAAUGGACGAAGGAAUGAUGGAGGGCAGGCUGAGUAUACUCACCCCAACUAUUUCAUUGGUGAGAUUUAAACUGCAGAGAGAAAGUGAUGCUGCAAAAGGGCUGUUGUGGCUUUUUCAAGUGUUUACAGCAGGAGAAAAUCCAUGAAAAGAGCAAGGAUGAGAUGAUUUGUCAUUCUUCAAUAUCUGACAUGUUCCGAAUGGUUGAUAAAUCUAGCUGAAAUGCAGAGGUUUGAGGAAGCGGCAAAGGCUUUCUACUAAGGGGUUCAACUAGAUCCUGACAGCAAGGAGCUUGCAAUUGAUUUCAGGUCAUUAUCAUUCAUUGUUUUUACCUCAGCCUUUUCUUUAUGGUAACGAAUUGGUAGUUAUGUUGAAAGAAUGUCUAGUUCUGUAUUAUUUUAAAUACGGAUUGGGAUUCUGGAGUUACUCGGAUCAUUUUGAGUAAUGCGGAACUGCUUGAAUAUUCUAUGUGAAUAUUCUACAUCUGUAUUUUUGAAGCAAAUUGCU